rfam:Brucella melitensis biovar Abortus 2308 chromosome II, complete sequence, strain 2308
UAAACCCUUUGACUGCUCAAAAUGGGCGCCAUUGAAUGUUGGGCUGUGGAGGAAAAUUAACUUAUGCCUCGGUUUGAACGAAAAUGGUUAAACUUUAGGAGCAAACUGAAAGUACGUUGUUCCACCAUUGAGGCUAUAGGGUAUUAGGAUGGAACAUCUUCGUCAUGUCGCGGAGCGACGUGAUGUAUUUUCCCGC